rnacentral:rRNA from 1 species
GACGAACGCUGGCGGCGUGCUUAACACAUGCAAGUCGAACGGUAAGGCUCCAGCUUGCUGGGGUACACGAGUGGCGAACGGGUGAGUAACACGUGGGUGACCUGCCCUGCACUUCGGGAUAAGCCUGGGAAACUGGGUCUAAUACCGGAUAGGACCGCACCGUGAGGGUGUGGUGGAAAGUUUUUUCGGUGUGGGAUGGGCCCGCGGCCUAUCAGCUUGUUGGUGGGGUAAUGGCCUACCAAGGCGGCGACGGGUAGCCGGCCUGAGAGGGUGGACGGCCACAUUGGGACUGAGACACGGCCCAGACUCCUACGGGAGGCAGCAGUGGGGAAUAUUGCACAAUGGGCGGAAGCCUGAUGCAGCGACGCCGCGUGGGGGAUGACGGCCUUCGGGUUGUAAACUCCUUUCACCAUCGACGAAGGGUUUCUGACGGUAGAUGGAGAAGAAGCACCGGCUAACUACGUGCCAGCAGCCGCGGUAAUACGUAGGGUGCGAGCGUUGUCCGGAAUUACUGGGCGUAAAGAGCUCGUAGGUGGUUUGUCGCGUCGUCUGUGAAAUUCCGGGGCUUAACUCCGGGCGUGCAGGCGAUACGGGCAUAACUUGAGUACUGUAGGGGAGACUGGAAUUCCUGGUGUAGCGGUGAAAUGCGCAGAUAUCAGGAGGAACACCGGUGGCGAAGGCGGGUCUCUGGGCAGUAACUGACGCUGAGGAGCGAAAGCAUGGGGAGCGAACAGGAUUAGAUACCCUGGUAGUCCAUGCCGUAAACGGUGGGCGCUAGGUGUGGGUUUCCUUCCACGGGAUCCGUGCCGUAGCUAACGCAUUAAGCGCCCCGCCUGGGGAGUACGGCCGCAAGGCUAAAACUCAAAGGAAUUGACGGGGGCCCGCACAAGCGGCGGAGCAUGUGGAUUAAUUCGAUGCAACGCGAAGAACCUUACCUGGGCUUGACAUAUACAGGAUCGCGCCAGAGAUGGUGUUUCCCUUGUGGCUUGUAUACAGGUGGUGCAUGGUUGUCGUCAGCUCGUGUCGUGAGACGUUGGGUUAAGUCCCGCAACGAGCGCAACCCUUGUCUUAUGUUGCCAGCACGUUGUGGUGGGGACUCGUAAGAAACUGCCGGGGUUAACUCGGAGGAAGGUGGGGAUGACGUCAAAUCAUCAUGCCCCUUAUGUCCAGGGCUUCACACAUGCUACAAUGGUCGGUACAGUGGGUUGCCAGUCCGUGAGGGCGAGCUAAUCCCGCAAAGCCGGUCUCAGUUCGGAUCGGGGUCUGCAACUCGACCCCGUGAAGUCGGAGUCGCUAGUAAUCGCAGAUCAGCAACGCUGCGGUGAAUACGUUCCCGGGCCU